AGCCCCGUAGUGUAGUGGCCAUAAAUAAACCAUAGAAGCACGCGAGGCUUUGGCCCUCGAAACUGCGGUUCGAAUCCGCACGGGGCUA
rnacentral:tRNA from 1 species